GGCCUAUUAGCUCAGUUG
rnacentral:siRNA from 1 species